rnacentral:rRNA from 1 species
AAGCCUAGAUUAUUAGUAGUUAAGUUCUUGAAAAUUAAUAAAGAUGGCGGUAUUUUAGUCUGUUCAGAGGAACCUGCUCUGUAAUUGAUAGUCCACGAUUUGGAUUACUUAAUUUUUUAGUUUAUAUAUCGCUGUAGAUUGAAUAUUUUUAUUGAAUUUUAAUAUUCAUGAUUUUUUAUGAAAGGAAAUCAAGUCAAGAUGUAGCUUAUAGUUAAGAAGAAGUGGAUUACAUUGUUUAUAUAAAUGGUCAAUUAUUUUAAAUAGUUAUUAUAAAAUGGAUUUGAAAGUAA